rnacentral:rRNA from 1 species
AGUGAACGCUGGCGGUAGGCCUAACACAUGCAAGUCGAACGGCAGCACAGGAGAGCUUGCUCUCUGGGUGGCGAGUGGCGGACGGGUGAGGAAUACAUCGGAAUCUACUUUUUCGUGGGGGAUAACGUAGGGAAACUUACGCUAAUACCGCAUACGACCUACGGGUGAAAGCAGGGGACCUUCGGGCCUUGCGCGAUUGAAUGAGCCGAUGUCGGAUUAGCUAGUUGGCGGGGUAAAGGCCCACCAAGGCGACGAUCCGUAGCUGGUCUGAGAGGAUGAUCAGCCACACUGGAACUGAGACACGGUCCAGACUCCUACGGGAGGCAGCAGUGGGGAAUAUUGGACAAUGGGCGCAAGCCUGAUCCAGCCAUACCGCGUGGGUGAAGAAGGCCUUCGGGUUGUAAAGCCCUUUUGUUGGGAAAGAAAUCCAGCUGGCUAAUACCCGGUUGGGAUGACGGUACCCAAAGAAUAAGCACCGGCUAACUUCGUGCCAGCCGCGGUAACAC